rnacentral:misc_RNA from 1 species
GAAGUGCGAUAAGCAAUGCGAAUUGCAGAAUUCCGCGAGUCAUCAGAUCUUUGAACGCAAAUGGCGCCGGAGGGAUAUCCUUCUGGCAUGUCUGUUUCAGUGUCUGAGAGGUUUCACCAACAUCUUAAUGUGAUUGACAGCAGCAGCAGCAACAUUGUUUGCUUGUUGCAGGUUGUCUCUCAUGAAAGAUGCGCGAGUGGAUCUUUCGGUCCAAUGAAGUGGUCACAUCACACGCAUGUGAUUUCAUUGGGAGCACCGAAUUAUCCGCCAUGCUCGCGGUGUCAUCACAGGAAGAUAUGUAUAUCUCACGAUAUAUGUAGCUUCUUUUUUUCUCUCUACACCCUGCAUCUGAGAUAGGCAAGAUCACCCGCUGAACUUAA